GCUCUCAGAAGAAGGUGAGAAUCUCACCAAGUAUGCAUGAAAAGUCCAAGUGAGCAUACCCCUUUCUGCAAAUGAGAGGGAGGUAGAGAGAGAUUAUUCAAACACUGUGAUGGUAUCUCAAAACACAUAUUUCAGUGUAACAAAAAUGCACUUGUCUUAACUGCUCUUUUCCUGACUCCUUAGCCAGAGCAACCAAUAUAUAGCAAUUACGGCAAUCACAACAACCAAUAUCAAUCAUGAACAUCACAUUUAAACCAUACACUUACAGAUUUAGCAAUACAAUCUUUGAAAUGGUAAUGGCAACCCAAGACACUUCACCUAAAAAAAAAUUAUACAUAUAUAUAUAUCAUGUCUUCUUCUUUCUCGUGAACUCUUAUUUUUUCUUACCGAACAUACCAACAUUUAAAUUUAUCAAAUGACCGCAACAUACUCAACGAACGAAACCUCAAUUGUUACUAGAUUGUUAAUGGGUAAAUAACUCAAUGACAUAGCAUUCAAGUCAAACGUUUCUUUAAACAUCACACUGUCGCUAAUUGCAUACAGGGGGUCAAAAAUUGCAUAAACUGUAUGCAAUUGCAUAAAAACUAUAUGCAAUUGCACAUAAGAAAUAAUAUAGCCAAAACCAAAACCAGUUAUGAGGUUUCUUAGUUAAAGAACUCAUCUUUCUCUUUUGAUGCCAACCUCAGUUCUCCACUAACAAGCCCGAAAACUCCAAUUGGAUUCAUCAUGACCAGAGUUCUUGAGUAAUAAAACAAAUUUCAAAUUGAAAAAAAAAAAAAAAAAGUAGGAAGAAAAUUCAAGAAUCCAAGACUUUAAAGAAAAUCAACAACCUGAUUGUUCAAAAUUUCAUACCUUAUUUUGAAGCACAAAUCCAUAACCUCAUACAUGGAAGAAAACAAAUCCUCCAUAAAACGAAAAUUACAUGGGUUUGAUGGAGAAAGGAUCACAGUGGGUCUGAUGCUGUGAUGAAAUUAAGAGAAAAUAUUAAAAUAUUAAAAUAUUAAAAAUUAUUAAAAGAGGGAAAAAAAAUCACCAAGAUUCAGUCCAAGGCGUUGAAUUUUUUCUCCCAUCAAAGGCUCUGCAACACAGACAUCCUCACUCCAGAUUCAAUACUAAGUCGUUGAAUUUCUACCCAAAUAAAGGCCUUUCACACCACCCCCGUCGAACUCGACUGAAUCACCCACUCUGUCUCCUCUCCGAUGGUUCUUGCAUCGCAGUGUCGGCAGAGAGGAGAUGCAUCAGAUUCCAACUUGGGGACAAAGAUGAGGAUUGGAUUUGAGAGAGAGAGAAAGAGAGAUAUAUUGCAAAGAUGAAGCAGCUCCCAGUGCACGCGAUGUCCGAUGACUGUUGCAUCUCAGCGUCGGCAGAAGUGAGACGCCCAGAUUCUGAUUUGGGGACAUAGAUGAGGAUUGGAUUUCCAAGAGAGAGAGAUCGAUCCCAGAGAUAAGCAGGUCCAAUGCACGCCAGGGCUUCCGCACGUUCGUUGAAGCUUUUCACUUGUUUUCUCAGUCACGUGUAUGUCACGUGAUAUUUAAUAACAAAGGGCUCAACAAGUCUUCAGGUCAUUCAAUCUCAACCCUUUAUUUUUAAGAUGCAAUACUGACCCUUGGAUAACGGGCUGUACCGAUACAGCUGAGGCACCACAGAAUUUUCC
rnacentral:lncRNA from 1 species